rnacentral:rRNA from 1 species
AGUGAACGCUGGCGGUAGGCCUAACACAUGCAAGUCGAACGGCAGCACAGUAAGAGCUUGCUCUUACGGGUGGCGAGUGGCGGACGGGUGAGGAAUACAUCGGAAUCUACUUUUUCGUGGGGGAUAACGUAGGGAAACUUACGCUAAUACCGCAUACGACCUACGGGUGAAAGCAGGGGAUCUUCGGACCUUGCGCGAUUGAAUGAGCCGAUGUCGGAUUAGCUAGUUGGCGGGGUAAAGGCCCACCAAGGCGACGAUCCGUAGCUGGUCUGAGAGGAUGGUCAGCCACACUGGAACUGAGACACGGUCCAGACUCCUACGGGAGGCAGCAGUGGGGAAUAGUGGGCAAUGGGCGCAAGCCUGAUCCAGCCAUACCGCGUGGGUGAAGAAGGCCUUCGGGUUGUAAAGCCCUUUUGUUGGGAAAGAAAAGCAGCAGGUUAAUACGCCGCUGUUCUGACGGUACCCAAAGAAUAAGCACCGGCUAACUACGUG